UUGACCUCGGAUCAGGUAGGAAUACCCGCUGAACUUAAGCAUAUCAAUAAGCGGGAGGAA
rnacentral:rRNA from 5 species